rnacentral:ncRNA from 1 species
UCGGUCCUCGGUAGUGGCUCCCGUGGGGAUGAAUCCCCGAGGGCCUCGAUCGAAGACCG